CCGACCCGCACGAAAGGCGUAACGAUUUGGGCACUGUCUCAACGAGAGACUCGGUGAAAUCAUAGUACCUGUGAAGAUGCAGGUUACCCGCGACAGGACGGAAAGACCCCGUGGAGCUUUACUGUAGCCUGAUAUUGAAAUUCGGCACAGCUUGUACAGGAUAGGUAGGAGCCUUUGAAACGUGAGCGCUAGCUUACGUGGAGGCGCUGGUGGGAUACUACCCUAGCUGUGUUGGCUUUCUAACCCGCACCACUUAUCGUGGUGGGAGACAGUGUCAGGCGGGCAGUUUGACUGGGGCGGUCGCCUCCUAAAAGGUAACGGAGGCGCUCAAAGGUUCCCUCAGAAUGGUUGGAAAUCAUUCAUAGAGUGUAAAGGCAUAAGGGAGCUUGACUGCGAGACCUACAAGUCGAGCAGGGUCGAAAGACGGACUUAGUGAUCCGGUGGUUCCGCAUGGAAGGGCCAUCGCUCAACGGAUAAAAGCUACCCCGGGGAUAACAGGCUUAUCUCCCCCAAGAGUUCACAUCGACGGGGAGGUUUGGCACCUCGAUGUCGGCUCAUCGCAUCCUGGGGCUGUAGUCGGUCCCAAGGGUUGGGCUGUUCGCCCA
rnacentral:rRNA from 1 species